GAUGAACGCUAGCGGGAGGCUUAACACAUGCAAGUCGAGGGGCAUCACGAGGUAGCAAUACUUUGGUGGCGACCGGCGCACGGGUGAGUAACGCGUAUGCAACCUACCCAGUACAGGGAGAUAGCCCGGAGAAAUUCGGACUAAUAUUCCAUAAUGAUAUCGGAAGGCAUCUUUUGGUAUUUAAAGCUUCGGCGGUACGGGAUGGGCAUGCGGAACAUUAGCUAGUUGGCAGGGUAACGGCCUACCAAGGCUACGAUGUUUAGGGGACCUGAGAGGGUGAUCCCCCA
rnacentral:rRNA from 1 species